UGCAUAUCCCCAGCUUACCGUAAAGGAUAAUGUUCUCUAUGCCCAACUGCAAAGUGCACCCUCUCUCUAGCUAUCUUCUCCUCUUCACAUGAAGUGACCUCUCUACCCUCCAUGUAUACAUGAAACCAUUUCUUCACUCCUAGUUUAUGCCCUACCCUUAUACCACUUGAUGAUAAGAUAACCCUCUCCCUAUGAGGAAAUAAGAUCUGGGGUUACUUUUGGUAUGUAAAUUAGGCAUAAAAAAGGGUGAUCUGGUUGGGGUUCUAUAAAUAUUCCCUGAGAAGACCCCAGCUACAACAUUUUGCGUGGUCUGCCUGGCUGCGGUCUGUUUUAAUGCGCCUGCUGUGGACAUCGUCCUAACGUUUCUCAUUCUGUUCAACCAUGGUGAUGAUGGGUCUGGAGAGGUUGGUGGUGACUCUCAAGUCUAAACUCAGAUCACUAAAGACAAAGAAGCCAUAUGAUAAGAUAGAUAAGAGCGAAAGCAUGAGAGUAGAAAUAAGAAGCAGGAAAGCCCAAAAGCUCGUAGCAGAAACUCUAAAGAUUGCAGACUCACCAAGAAGAAAAAGCUAUGCCUUCUGAGACUUUUUUUCUAUCAAGGAUCGAGUUUUCCUAAGGCCACUCAUGAAGAGAGAGAAGGUCUCAUCCCUUCAAUCACGUGGUGAACCUCACGGCGCGAUCUAGGGAAACCUCUUCCUUUUAUGAAUAAAGUUGGACAUUGUAUAUAUGUAGGGAUCUUUUAUAUUUUUAAUGUUUGAAUUCCCAAUUUUUUUUUAUUUUUUUUUAUUUUUAUUUUUAUUAUUAUUAUUUUUUUUGUUAUGAAGAUCUUCUUCUACCUUUGUUCUUACAUAGUCUCUCACCCAAAAUCUCUUACAAUCUCAAGAUAUAUACUAAGGCCAUAUCUAGAUCUUACUGGUUUGCUAAUUUCCUCA